rnacentral:rRNA from 1 species
AGAGUUUGAUCCUGGCUCAGGAUGAACGCUAGCGGCAGGCCUAACACAUGCAAGUCGAGCGGGAUUCGUUAAUAGCUUGCUAUUGACGAUGAGAGCGGCGCACGGGUGCGUAACGCGUAUGCAACCUACCCUGUACUGGGGGAUAGCCCGGAGAAAUUCGGAUUAACACCCCAUAGUAUUAUUGAAUCGCAUGGUUUAAUAAUUAAAGGUUACGGUACAGGAUGGGCAUGCGUCCUAUUAGCUUGUUGGUGAGGUAACGGCUCACCAAGGCUACGAUAGGUAGGGGGCCUGAGAGGGUGAUCCCCCACACUGGUACUGAGACACGGACCAGACUCCUACGGGAGGCAGCAGUGAGGAAUAUUGGUCAAUGGACGCAAGUCUGAACCAGCCAUGCCGCGUGCAGGAAGAAUGCCCUAUGGGUUGUAAACUGCUUUUAUUUGGGAAUAAACCUCCUUACGUGUAGGGAGCUGAAUGUACCAAAUGAAUAAGCACCGGCUAACUCCGUGCCAGCAGCCGCGGUAAUA